rnacentral:misc_RNA from 1 species
CCAGGAGGCUCCCUCGAUCAGCCCGUUGAUCUUCGCCAAAUCGUCCUCGUCUUCGGUCAAAAAGGGGGCGAAGGAGGCAACGGCGGUGAACACCGGGGUACCGACCAGCCCGAGGAGGAAUGUGGCGCCGAUCAGCGUCCCGAUCUGGUUGGCGAAGACCAUUCCGAUCGCCACGGGCACGAAGAGGAUCUCUCCGAACAGCACCACCCGUCUGGGAUCGAACCUGUCGACCAGCACACCCGCCGCAGAUGC